rnacentral:misc_RNA from 1 species
CCCCGAUUCAUUCCCUCAUUGUUACUAUCAUCUACCAGUGUCAAAUCCUCAACAUUCUCGACUCCAUAAUGUUUUAGCUUCUCUUUCAAAGCUUCUUUUGUCCAAGUCUUGCAAAUAUUACCCAAGAAAAGAGUGUCGCUGUCUUGACUUGGAGUAACACCACAUUGUUUCCCAUUGAUCACUGGAUUUUUUAGCUCUGUAACAGCUCUUUUUGCUUGUUCCACGGUUGCAAAUCGCAAGAAGGCAAAUCCUUUGUUCUU